UACGAAGGGUCGCAAGCGUUAUCCGGAAUUAUUGGGCGUAAAGAGCUCGUAGGCGGUGUGUCGCGUCGGCCGUGAAAACCUGCAGCUUAACUGUGGGCUUGCGGUCGAUACGGGCAUCACUGGAGUUCGGCAGGGGAGACUGGAAUUCCUGGUGUAGCGGUGAAAUGCGCAGAUAUCAGGAGGAACACCGGUGGCGAAGGCGGCUUCCUGGUCCAGCACCGGACGUCAGGCACGAAAGCGUGGGGAGCAAACAGG
rnacentral:rRNA from 1 species